CGGACGGGUGAGUAACGCGUGAGAACCUGCCCUUAGGAGGGGGACAACAGCUGGAAACGGUGGCUAAUACCGGAUGUGCCGAAAGGUGAAAGGUUAACUGCCUGAAGAUGAGCUCGCGUCUGAUUAGCUAGCUGGUAGAGUAAAAGCCUACCAAGGCGACGAUCAGUAGCUGGUCUGAGAGGACGAUCAGCCACACUGGGACUGAGACACGGCCCAGACUCCUACGGGAGGCAGCAGUGGGGAAUUUUCCGCAAUGGGCGAAAGCCUGACGGAGCAAUACCGCGUGAGGGAGGAAGGCUCUUGGGUCGUAAACCUCUUUUCUCAGGGAAGAACACAAUGACGGUACCUGAGGAAUAAGCAUCGGCUAACUCCGUGCCAGCAGCCGCGGUAAUACGGAGGAUGCAAGCGUUAUCCGGAAUGAUUGGGCGUAAAGCGUCCGCAGGUGGCAAUGUAAGUCUGCUGUUAAAGAGUCUAGCUCAACUAGAUAAGAGCAGUGGAAACUACAUAGCUAGAGUACGUUCGGGGCAGAGGGAAUUCCUGGUGUAGCGGUGAAAUGCGUAGAGAUCAGGAAGAACACCAGUGGCGAAGGCGCUCUGCUAGGCCGUAACUGACACUGAGGGACGAAAGCUAGGGGAGCGAAUGGGAUUAGAUACCCCAGUAGUC
rnacentral:rRNA from 1 species